rnacentral:rRNA from 1 species
UACGUAGGGUGCAAGCGUUAAUCGGAAUUACUGGGCGUAAAGCGUGCGCAGGCGGUUUUGUAAGUCUGUCGUGAAAGCCCCGGGCUCAACCUGGGAAUUGCGAUGGAGACUGCAAGGCUUGAAUCUGGCAGAGGGGGGUAGAAUUCCACGUGUAGCAGUGAAAUGCGUAGAGAUGUGGAGGAACACCGAUGGCGAAGGCAGCCCCCUGGGUCAAGAUUGACGCUUAUGCACGAAAGCGUGGGGAGCAAACAGG